AUUAUCAUAUCAAAAAGACUCUAAUACCCCUUAACAAAACAAAGCCCAACUGAAUCAUCUUCCUUUUUCCUUCGAAACCUUCAGACGCCGUAAAAAAACCCAGAAAUCUCCAAUUUCAUCUCACUCGAUUGAACAACAUUCCUUCGAUUCUAUUCAUCAUCUCGUGUGCUAAUCCAAUAUGCAUCCAUACUUUCAUCAUCUCGUGUGCUACUCUCUCUCUAUGCUUUAAUUUUAAAUCUCAAAUUCCCGAAAAUAUCUAGAGAAGGCGUUUGUCGUCGAAAACACAUGUCUCAAGCCGAAUUAAAUCGUCUCUAUGAAGCAUUCCGACACACUUACACAUGAAAUCAAGUCAAACGCCAUUUUCGUUUCUUCAAAGAGGAAGAAUCUCGUCAGGGCAUCUCAUCGAAUUAGAGCGACGAGAAGUCCCCGUACGAUACUCUGGAGCUAGAACGAGAAACAGAGGAGGAGCAGAGUAAGGUGGUAUACAGAUGAUUAGCCAAAUAUUAUCAUCUCAGUUUCUCUCAUGUAAAUUUUGUCUUUAUUCUACAAUCUCCCGACAAAUGUUUGCUCUUGUGCUGUUUUCAUUUGUUUGUUUUUAGGUGAAUCUUCACGUUCUUGUUUGUCUUUUCUGUUCAAAUCAUUAACCUCUUUGACAGUUACCAAGCUUCAUGUAUAAUGUUCUUAAGCCUUAGUUACACCCA